UGGAGCCGGCUUUUAUUUAUAAGCACAAUUUACAAGGCCUGCCUUGAGAUAAGUAAGAAAAAAAAAUAAUAAUAAUUACAAGAUUGAUAAUUGAAAGAUUUUGGAAAAAAAAAAUUAGAAGACUAGUCAUUAAAAGAUUUUAGAAGAUUGCAUUUUUAGCUGUUGGAAAGAUUGUAAGAGGCAUGGCUGCUCAUCUUGAAAAGUCUGUAUUGGCAUUUGCUGGUUUAGAAAACUAGCCGUUAUAGCCAUUGAUGUGGGAGGAGAAUUCAUUGCUAAUAUUCUAGCUGUUGGAGAGAUUGUAGGAAGUGUGGCUGCUCAUCUUGGAAAGCUUUGCUGGUUUGGAAAACUAGCCAUUAGAGUCAUUGGUGUGGGAGGAGGAUUCAUCGCUAAUACAUAGCAAUCAUCAUAAGUUGACCUUCAACUAUUACAUGAGAUAUCUACAGUAACAAAUAAUGGGGUGGGCAGUUUAUAAAUCAUGCAAAUUGCCCAAACUUCUGGGAUGAAGCCACCUUUGGAAUUGCAUACUAGCAAGAAGAUAGCAUGGGAUUUAUAAAGUUGUGCA
rnacentral:lncRNA from 1 species